rnacentral:misc_RNA from 1 species
GAAAUGCGAUAAGUAAUGUGAAUUGCAGAAUUCAGUGAAUCAUCGAAUCUUUGAACGCACAUUGCGCCUGCCAGUAUUCUGGCGGGCAUGCCUGUUCGAGCGUCAUUUCAACCAUCAAGCCCCCGGCUUGUGUUGGGGACCUGCGGCUGCCCGCAGGCCCUGAAAAACAGUGGCGGGCUCGCUGUCACACCGAGCGUAGUAGCAUACAUUCUCGCUCAGGGCGUGCUGCGGGUUCCGGCCGUUAAACGACCUUCAUAACCCAAGGUUGACCUCGGAUCAGGUAGGAAGACCCGCUGAACUUAAGC